rnacentral:lncRNA from 1 species
GCAUGGAUGAGGAAUGCAGAAGAUAUGGGAGGUUGUGAGCUAUGUUUAUGUUGAUGAAUUUGGACACCUGGAUCAACCUGAAUGCCAUCUCUUUCUGCAUUCGGUUUUCGGCCAAGAAAUCUUUGGUGGAAAAUACGCUGAUGUAUGGCACUUCUUUUUCUGCCUGUCUUAUUAUGCUACAAUAUGUGAAUAGAAAUAACCAGAUUUGUCAUUAUUGUGUAUGUAGCUACAUCAUGGAUGACAGCCAUGUACUGCUGACUGAGCAUUUAAUUCAAGUCAGACUGGGACAAAUUAGAUCACCUCUUCCCGGACACUUGAGUCUUUCAAAGGGGUUUAACCUUUUUAAACAAACAUUUUAUUCUUUUUUAAAGCCUGCCAUAUGUGUUAACUUUGAGGACAUCCGAGAUAGAAUAGACCAGAAUAGGCAGUUUUCAGCCAGCCGUUUUCACCGUCAAAAUAAGGCCCAUGGUCUUUCUUGCCAGGGUGGAUGAUGAAGAAUUUCCACCGACUUUUCCAUGGACAAAAGUCAGCAUAGCUCCCAUCUGUUGAAAACAUUAAAGGUUGUGAGAACACUGACGGUAAAACGCCAUAAUUCAUGCUCUUCGGGGCUCAGACUGGCCUGAUGUAUUUGGGAGAGAAAUGUGGAAAUAUCAGCCGAGUGUGUACAGCCUGAUCCUCCCUGAUGACAGCAGGGAUAUAAAACCUGAGGCUCUGACGGUCUGCGGCUCCAUACUGCCUCGCCUCAGCAUGGAUGGGCCGCUGCUCUGCGGGCUGCUUUGUCUGCUGUUCUACCUGGUGGCAUCGACCCCUCUAGGGUCACCUCAAGACUCCUCUCUGACCACAGACACGCAGGGCCAUAGCUGGGAGACUGCAGAUGUCAGCACAGAUGUGCUUCCAGAGGUUCAGCUAACACAGAAGAGCUCCCCGUGGAAUCCUGCCAUCACUCACAUGAGCCUCAGGAUAAGACGGCAAACAGAUCAGAAAAAGAAGAAGAAGAAGAAGAAGAGGCCCAACCCAGGAUCUUCCUCCUUGCUAAGCGUGAGUCUGGAUGGGGUGAAAACACCGGCGAGUCCCCGAACCAAGAGGAACGCUGAUGUGGCUGCCUUCUUGCUGAUCCCAAAUGCUCCAUAGCAUUAGCAGGCCCCUAACCCUUUGCUGUGAACGCCGGACAGGAGACAGUUGAAGUUGAAGAAACCCAUUCCAUCCAGAUCAGAAG